GGCAGUUAUGCUAUACUUCACAACUUUAGCCAUACACAAACUACGUAGUCUAAGUACAAUAGACUAAGUAUAAAGCAAAGUAAAGCACUCAACAAUAUAUAGGAAAUAAGUUCCCAACCUUUAUUAUUCUCUUAGAAUUACAAAGAAGUAAUGCCACUAGAAUUGCUAAGACAUUACAACACUCAUUACCUUAGACAUAUUCUAGCACUAGAAUAUAAAGAUUGUACAUGGGC
rnacentral:lncRNA from 1 species